GUGGUCGAGUAUGGUGCUGGAUGC
rnacentral:siRNA from 1 species